rnacentral:rRNA from 1 species
AUUGAACGCUGGCGGAAUGCUUUACACAUGCAAGUCGAACGGCAGCACGGGGCAACCUGGUGGCGAGUGGCGAACGGGUGAGUAAUACAUCGGAACGUGCCCAAUCGUGGGGGAUAACGUAGCGAAAGUUACGCUAAUACCGCAUACGAUCUACGGAUGAAAGCGGGGGAUCGCAAGACCUCGCGCGAAUGGAGCGGCCGAUGUCAGAUUAGGUAGUUGGUGGGGUAAAGGCUCACCAAAGCCAACGAUCUGUAGCUGGUCUGAGAGGACGACCAGCCACACUGGAACUGAGACACGGUCCAGACUCCUACGGGAGGCAGCAGUGGGGAAUCUUGCGCAAUGGGCGAAAGCCUGACGCAGCAACGCCGCGUGCGGGAUGAAGGCCUUCGGGUGUAACCGCUUUCAGCAGGACGAAAUGACGGUACCUGCAGAAGAAGACCCCGGCUAACUACGUGCCAGCAGCCGCGGUAAGAUCACGUGUA